AGAUUGGCUUCCAGCGCGCAGGGCACAAGCCUGCUGGAGAACAGAGCCAACACAGAGAAAAUGGAUCCAGGAGAUGAAGAUGGAGAAACUGGGUGCUGAAGACCUUUGAGCUGUUUUUGGAGCUAGACUGAUCACUGGACUUUCAAAUCAUAUGAGUAAAACCUGGCUGUGCCCUGUUGAAAUCAAUUCUGUUGCAGUCAUAUGCGGUGGAAUCUGUUCUUCUUUUGCAUCCUACGUAACCAGACCAAGCUGUGGGGUAAGUGAAACGUCUUGACAUUGUGAUUGGCGUCCAGUCUCCUUCAAACAGGACUCUGCUUUUCUAUGAUUCUUUCUGUUGUCCCUUCCACUAUGUUUUGUAUUUGCCUCUGGUCUAGCUUCUCAAGGUAGCCUCCAGGAUGCA
rnacentral:lncRNA from 10 species